rnacentral:lncRNA from 1 species
UUUUUUUUUUGUAAAAAGAUUAAUAAGUCUAUACUUCGUGAACUUUCCCAUUUCCCGUGUACUUAAUUUUUAGGAGACAAUUCUUUACAUAUAAAUAUUUUUUUCGACAGUAUUUACUGAAUCAGUUUAUGUCAAAAGUAAAAUUACAAAAUACUGAACUCCGAGGAAAAUUCAAAACGGAAAGUCCCUAUUCAAAUGGCAAAUUCAAAUGAUAAAACACAUCAAACGAAUGGACAACAACUGUCAUAUUCCUGACUUAGUACAGGCAUUUUCAAAUGUAGAAAAUGAUGGAUUGAACCUGGUUUUAUAGCGUUAAACCUCUCACUUAUAUGAAAGUCACAUCACAGUAGAUAGAUUCGGUAUGGUUGAGUUGACCAGUUCUUCGAAAAAACGUCACUCAGUCAUUUUGAAAUUCAAAUUACAGGAACACAUUUUUUAUUCUGAGCAUGAAAAAUCAUGACACCUUCAAAGCGACAAAGGAGUGAGCAAGAACGUAUUGACUUCUACUUCACAAUUCAACCAAACAGAAAGUUAUACUCUAUUAUACUCUCAUGAAAAAAAGUUCCACAUUAAUAUUAUUUACCUACAAAAUUAUGUUUAACCCCAAACGGCCGCGCCCAUCUUAAAAUAACAUAGCUGAAUAACUAUCCCCAGUCAGUAUACGCUCUCAGACUGGAUAGAUUUAAAGUGCAAGGUACGAACCAUUUGUUUGAGGAGGCAGUCUGAGAUAUUUGAGAGAACAAAUCUUACUCUACUUUUUGCCUUAAACAAACAUUCUGGCCG